UUUCAUCUGUAUGGAAAAGGAGCUCUGGUAACUUUGGCCAAGACUUUUCAGUAGGAAAUGCUUCAAAAUACAAAGCAAGAGCUAUUUUCAAGAAAGACCUUCUAAAUUUAUAUUAGGACAUAGUGAGAAGAAAGCCAUCUGAAAACCAGGAAGAGAGCCCUCACCAGAAUCUGACCAUGCUGGUGCCCUGAUCUUGGACUUUCAGCCUCCAGAACUGCAAAAUUCUGGUGUGGUGUGAAUGCUGUGGCUCAGUCCGAACAUGUUUUUUUCUGUAAUUUUAUCAUUAUUACACGAUUGCAAUAUCAGUUUUGUUUUUUAAUUGGAAAGCAACAUUUUCUACUGUUGAAAGACGUUUUUUGACAAAUUGACCCUUCCUAGUAUUGAGUACUAAGUUGAGGACUGCAUCUACUUGUUUUUUACAUUAUAGAGAAUAAAAUACUAUUGAUUUGAAAAAUACAUA
rnacentral:lncRNA from 10 species